GGGUCUUCUAGCUAAAAUUGCAGUAUCCUGUGGAGACAGCACAGGGGUGAGCUGCAUCAGGAAGGUGCAGCAGGGCUCUGCAGAUUCUCCUGGAGAUGACACUGAAGAUGACUAACCAGCAGGAAAGGCUGCUCUUCUUAUCGCAGAUCACAUGGAUGGAGUUAUGGGGGUAAAAAUCUAUUUUUGUAUUAAAAUAGUGUAAGUUGAAAUGUUUAUCUCUUCCAUGUGUCCACAUAACAAACACUGUCCCAUGCUUGUAAGUAGUGGGCUGGCUCAGAAGAACCUCCUCCAUCCUAGCCAAAACAACUUCAGGUGGACCUUCGGCUGGAAAAUGGCACGACACAAGGGCUGCCGUGCGAUGGCUCAAUAAACUGAAAAACAGCAAGCCACACUCUAGCUCUACAUAUUUUGGGAUAUAGAUUUCUUCUCGUGCUCUCUUAUGCUCCUUUAAACUGGAGACUUCUAAUUAUGGUAAACAUGAGAAAUUAGUCUUUGAUUUUCAUAUGAAUAUACAUUUUUGAAUUACAUAUAAAUAUGCAUAGAUACCACAAAAAUUAAGAUACUAUAAUAUAAAGCAUAUUGCCUUUAUUUUUUUUACAUUUAUUUACUCAUUUUAUGUGUGUGUGUGUAUGUGUGUGUGUGUGUGUGUGUGUGUGAAUGAAUGUAUGUAUGCAUAUAUGCCACAGCAUGCAUGUGGAGGUCAGAGAACAAUUUGCAGGAAUCAGUUCCCUCUUCCCAUCACGUGGUUCCUGGGGAAGCAAACAAUGGUCAUCAGGCGUGGCAGCAACACUUCUGCUGAGCCAUCUUGCUACCCCUGAAAUAAUAACACCAGGGUCAUACAACAUUUGAACUGCUACUUCCUGUUACAGACUGAAUUGAAUCCUCAUAUCCUCAAACUAAAAUAUUAAAGCUCUAACUUUCAAUGUAACACGGUUUGAAGGUGAGUCCUUGGAGUCGUGGUUAGACUUAGAAAUAGGGAAGAGGUGCCAAGAUAGGGUCAAUGACUUUAUAAUAGACUAGAGCUGUCCCUGAUGUGAGGAGGCAAAGUGAAAGUUGACCCUGUGCAAGCCAGUAAGUAGAUAAUCAUUAGGAACAGAACUUUCUAGCGUCUUUGUCCAUAGGCUUAUCAAUAUCUAGAACGGUAAGAAGAUGAUUAAGUUUUGUUUUUAAAGUAAGUCAGUAUGUGUUGCUUUGUUAUAUAAGUCUAAACCACGACGUCCUCUAUUUACUUUAAAAAAAACAUUGGUUUCAUAUAUGUUAGUCCUAUAGCUAUUGUGUGUUUACGUGUGAACAGGUGAACCUGUAUGAGGGGUACAUGUAUGUGUGCAUGUUUAUGGAGGUCAGACAUUGACCCAAUUGUUCUAUAGGAGCCAUCCACCUUGCCUUCUUUCUUAUUAAAAAAUAAAUUUCAUCAGACUUAUUUUUGUUUGAUGUAUUUUGGGCAUAUUUGUUCCCCUCCCCCAAUACCUCCCAUCUCCUUUCCAUCUCCCUCCUCUCUCAAAAA
rnacentral:lncRNA from 1 species